rnacentral:rRNA from 1 species
AUGAGAGGGAGCAGUCUAGUGCAUGCGACGAUGAUAUUCUUCAUUGGAUUCUUUGUGGUGUGUGCACAGUGUGUUCUCGAUAAUAAGCAAACGGUGGUCAACCAAGAUGGUCAUGCGGCAAAAACAAGUACCAACGCUACCAUCGUCAACUCGACGUCUGCAGGCGAGAGCAAGAUCACCUUGAUAUUUUGCAGCCGCUUUUUCUUAUGUCAUUUCAAAGAUGGGCACAGUGGUACGUGCUACUGCUGCCACAAUAAGCACGGCCCGUGUUACAGGACGCGGAGUGAGUGCCAGGAUAAGUGCCCUACCUGCAACCCUAAAUGCCCACCUUCGUCGGGGUCUCGGGGAUAG